rnacentral:rRNA from 1 species
AUUGAACGCUGGCGGAAUGCUUUACACAUGCAAGUCGAACGGUAGAGGGGGCAACCCCUCGAGAGUGGCGAACGGGUGAGUAAUAUAUCGGAACGUGCCCAGUCGUGGGGGAUAACGUAGCGAAAGUUACGCUAAUACCGCAUACGAUCUAAGGAUGUAAGCGGGGGAUCGCAAGACCUCGCGCGAUUGGAGCGGCCGAUAUCAGAUUAGGUAGUUGGUGGGGUAAAGGCUCACCAAGCCAACGAUCUGUAGCUGGUCUGAGAGGACGACCAGCCACACUGGAACUGAGACACGGUCCAGACUCCUACGGGAGGCAGCAGUGGGGAAUUUUGGACAAUGGACGCAAGUCUGAUCCAGCCAUUCCGCGUGCAGGAUGAAGGCCCUCGGGUUGUAAACUGCCUUUGUACGGAACGAAAAGGUCUCUCUUAAUACGGGGGGCUCAUGACGGUACCGUAAGAAUAAGCACCGGCUAACUACGUGCCAGCCGCCGCAGUAA